GGGGCGGUAGCUCAGUUGGUCAGAGCAGCGGACUCAUAAUCCGCCGGUCGAUGGUUCGAGUCCAUCCCGCCCCA
rnacentral:tRNA from 1 species